ACCCGGGAGGCGGCUAGGCUACCAUGCAAGUCGUAACAAGAAUCAGUUGGGAUUGGCAGACGGGUGUAGUAACGCGUGGGAACAUACCCUUUCCUGCGGAAUAGCUCCGGGAAACUGGAAUUAAUACCGCAUACGCCCUACGGGGGAAAGAUUUAUCGGGGAAGGAUUGGCCCGCGUUGGAUUAGCUAGUUGGUGGGGUAAAGGCCUACCAAGGCGACGAUCCAUAGCUGGUCUGAGAGGAUGAUCAGCCACAUUGGAGACUGAGACACGGCCCAAACUCCUACGGGAGGCAGCAGUGGGGAAUAUUGGACAAUGGGCGCAAGCCUGAUCCAGCCAUGCCGCGUGAGUGAUGAAGGCCUUAGGGUUGUAAAGCUCUUUCACCGAUGAAUAUAAUGACGGUAGUCAGAGAAGAAGCCCCGGCUAACUUCGUGCCAGCAGCCGCGGUAAUACGAAGGGGGCUAGCGUUGUUCGGAAUUACUGGGCGUAAAGCGCACGUAGGCGGAUAUUUAAGUCAGGGGUGAAAUCCCGCAGCUCAACUGCGGAACUGCCUUUGAUACUGGGUAUCUUGAGUAUGGAAGAGGUAAGUGGAAUUCCGAGUGUAGAGGUGAGAUUCGUAGAUAUUCGGAGGAACACCAGUGGCGAAAGCGGCUUACUGGUCCAUUACUGACGCUGAGGUGCGAAAGCGUGGGGAGCAAACAGGAUUACAUACGCUGGUAGUCCACGCCGUAAACGAUGAAUGUUAGCCGUCCGGCAGUAUACUGUUCGGUGGCGCAGCUAACGCAUUAAACAUUCCGCCUGGGGAGUACGGUCGCAAGAUUAAUACUCCAAGGAAUUGACGGGGGUCCGCACAAGCGGUGGAGCAUGUGGGUUUAAUUCUAAGCAACGCGCAGAACCUUACCAGCUCUUGACAUUCGGGGUAUGGGCAUUGGAGACGAUGUCCUUCAAUUAAGCUGGCCCCACAACAGGUGGUGCAUGGCUGUCCUCAACUCCUGACGAGAGAUGUUGGCUUAAUCGCGCAAAGAACGCAACCCUCCCCCUUGUUGCCAGCUUUUAUUUGGGACUCUAAGGGAACUCCCGUGAUAACCCAACAGAAGGUGGGAUACGUCAAGCCUCUGGCCCUAAGGGCUGGGCUACAACAUGCUAAAAGGUGGGGAAAUGGG
rnacentral:rRNA from 1 species